GGGUUCCUAGGGUGGGGGUUUUCCCUUCCCUUGGGAUUCCCGUUCCCGUAGCUGAACCCAUUAAAUUACCCCCCCCUGGGGGAGUACGGCCCGCAAGGCUAAAAACUCAAAGGGAAAUUGGACGGGGGCCCGCACAAGCGGCGGAGCAUGUGGAUUAAUUCGAUGCAACGCGAAGAACCUUACCUGGGGUUUGACAUGCACAGGACGCCGGCAGAGAUGUCGGUUCCCUUGUGGCCGUGUGCAGGUGGUGCAUGGCUGUCGUCAGCUCGUGUCGUGAGAUGUUGGGUUAAGUCCCGCAACGAGCGCAACCCUUGUCUCAUGUUGCCAGCACGUUAUGGUGGGGACUCGUGAGAGACUGCCGGGGUCAACUCGGAGGAAGGUGGGGAUGACGUCAAGUCAUCAUGCCCCUUAUGUCCAGGGCUUCACACAUGCUACAAUGGCCGGUACAAAGGGCUGCGAUGCCGUGAGGUGGAGCGAAUCCUUUCAAAGCCGGUCUCAGUUCGGAUCGGGGUCUGCAACUCGACCCCGUGAAGUCGGAGUCGCUAGUAAUCGCAGAUCAGCAACGCUGCGGUGAAUACGUUCCCGGGCCUUGUACACACCGCCCGUCACGUCAUGAAAGUCGGUAACACCCGAAGCCGGUGGCCUAACCCGUAAGGGAGGGAGCCGUCGAAGGUGGGGCUGG
rnacentral:rRNA from 1 species